rnacentral:misc_RNA from 1 species
GAUGAAGAACGCAGCGAAUUGCGAUAUGUAAUGUGAAUUGCAGAAUUCAGUGAAUCAUCGAAUCUUUGAACGCACAUUGCGCCCGCCAGUAUUCUGGCGGGCAUGCCUGUCUGAGCGUCAUUUCAACCCUCAUGCCCCUAGGGCGUGGUGUUGGGGAUCGGCCAAAGCCCGCGAGGGACGGCCGGCCCCUAAAUCUAGUGGCGGACCCGUCGUGGCCUCCUCUGCGAAGUAGUGAUAUUCCGCAUCGGAGAGCGACGAGCCCCUGCCGUUAAACCCCCAACUUUCCAAGGUUGACCUCAGAUCAGGUAGGAAUACCCGCUGAACUUAAGCAUAUCAAUAAGCGGAGGA